UGGGGAAUAUUGCACAAUGGGCGCAAGCCUGAUGCAGCCAUGCCGCGUGUAUGAAGAAGGCCUUCGGGUUGUAAAGCACUUUCAGUCGGGAGGAAGGUGGUAAGGUUAAUAACCUUGGCAAUUGACGUUACCGACAGAAGAAGCACCGGCUAACUCCGUUCCAGCAGCCGCGGUAAUACGGAGGGUGCAAGCGUUAAUCGGAAUUACUGGGCGUAAAGCGCACGCAGGCGGUCGAUUGAGUCAGAUGUGAAAUCCCCGGGCUUAACCCGGGAAUUGCAUCUGAUACUGGUCAGCUAGAGUCUUGUAGAGGGAGGUAGAAUUCCAUGUGUAGCGGUGAAAUGCGUAGAGAUGUGGAGGAAUACCGGUGGCAAAGACGGCACCCUGGACAAAGGCUAACGAUCAGGUACGAAAGCGUGGGGAGCAAACAGG
rnacentral:rRNA from 1 species